rnacentral:misc_RNA from 1 species
AAGUCGUAACAAGGUUUCCGUAGGUGAACCUGCGGAAGGAUCAUUACCAAUCCACCUUUUACAAACCACUGUGAACCGUUCCUGUCCUUGGGUGGGCAGGAGGAUCGCCUAGCGGCUUUCCAAUAGCCCACCCAAACUGUUUUUGCAAAACCACUUAUAUCAACCUCAUCUGUUGAAACUUUUCUUUGCGGCUAUCUUAUUAUGGCUCAAAGAAAUCUAUAUAACAAAAAGAAAUACAACUUUUAACGGUGGAUCUCUUGGCUCAU